rnacentral:tRNA from 1 species
GCCCGCCUGGCGGAAUGGUAGACGCAGCGGACUUAAAAUCCGCAGCCCGCAAGGGUGUGGGGGUUCGAGUCCCCCGGUGGGCA